GGAGCUGUAGUUCAAUUGGUAGAAUAACGGAUUCCAAUUAUCCGUCGGUCGCAGGUUCGAUUCCUGUCAGCUUCA
rnacentral:tRNA from 1 species